rnacentral:rRNA from 1 species
GCAGCAGUGGGGAAUAUUGGACAAUGGGCGAAAGCCUGAUCCAGCCAUGCCGCGUGUGUGAAGAAGGUCUUCGGAUUGUAAAGCACUUUAAGUUGGGAGGAAGGGCAGUAAGCUAAUACCUUGCUGUUUUGACGUUACCGACAGAAUAAGCACCGGCUAACUUCGUGCCAGCAGCCGCGGUAAUACGAAGGGUGCAAGCGUUAAUCGGAAUUACUGGGCGUAAAGCGCGCGUAGGUGGUUCGUUAAGUUGGAUGUGAAAGCCCCGGGCUCAACCUGGGAACUGCAUCCAAAACUGGCGAGCUAGAGUAUGGCAGAGGGUGGUGGAAUUUCCUGUGUAGCGGUGAAAUGCGUAGAUAUAGGAAGGAACACCAGUGGCGAAGGCGACCACCUGGCUCAUCCCGACACUUAGUUUCAUUCUUCUUC